rnacentral:rRNA from 1 species
AAGUCGUAACAAGGUCUCCGUUGGUGAACCAGCGGAGGGAUCAUUACCGAGUUUACAACUCCCAAACCCAUGUGAACAUUACCUCUAUGUUGCUUCGGCGGAGCCGCCCCGGCGCCCGGAACCCCCUGCGGUCCCGCGGCCCGGAACCAAGGCGCCCGCCGGAGGCCACAAACUCUUCUGUUUUUACAGUUUCUUCUGAGUGUGCCGCAAGGCAGUAUACAAAUGAAUCAAAACUUUCAACAACGGAUCUCUUGGUUCUGGCAUCGAUGAAGAACGCAGCGAAAUGCGAUAAGUAGUGUGAAUUGCAGAAUUCAGUGAAUCAUCGAAUCUUUGAACGCACAUUGCGCCGCCAGAAUUCUGGCGGGCAUGCCUGUUCGAGCGUCAUUUCAACCCUCGAGCUCCCCUUUCGGGGGGAGCCCGGCGUUGGGGACCCGGCGCUAACAACGCCGGCCCCGAAAUGGAGUGGCGGCCCGUCCGCGGCGACCUCUGCGUAGUAACAACCACUCGCACCGGGACCCGGGCGCGGCCACGCCGUAAAACACCCCACCUUCCGAAUGUUGACCUCGAAUCAGGUAGGAAUACCCGCUGAACUUAA